GCGUGAUGCUGGGCUUAGGAUUCAAAUGAUUCCAUCACCCAGCCUUCAGGAGCAGCUGUGUUUGGAAGAAUUAGAAUAGGUGCAUGUAUCCAUGUUUUUUAGAGAAUAUGAGAAGAGUCAAAGACGUUUGGAGAAAUAGUUUCCUGUAUUAAGAAAGGGUGAGCCAAGAAUAAUGGAAACUGUGUAGGAAUUGCUGGUUUGUGCCAAGGACUGUGCAGUGUACUUUUCAUUUCUUUGAUCUCUACAGAGACAUUUAUCAGAUUCUGAGUAUUAUAAUCAGCAUCUUCUGGAGCAAUAUAAACAACUUGGCAGAGACUAAAACUAAAAAUGAACUCUCCAUUCCAUCUGGAGUCCAUACGAUUCAGACACAGGUCAUCGUCCACUCAACCUGCCAGUGCAUCUAGAUGACUCAUACAUUUAUGCUCUUCUGCCCAUUUCAUCUGGAUUCCUGAAGUCCAUGAAAAUUUCAUCUUAGAGUCUACAUUUGGGCUUUUCCUUGACCAUAACCUCUUAUCUGGCUUGGUAACUACCUGUCAUAGAAGAUCUCUCAAAUGACCUCAUCUCCAGGUUUGCUGUGUCCUUUUGUAGCUCACCACAUGGUAUAAAAUUUUCUUCUCCUCCUAUACAUGAACAUUGUACUGUAGGGUUGUGACUGUGCCACUCUUAAGAUUUGUCCUGCACCAGGAGCGUGACUUGGCAUGACUCAGAGAAUAGGCUAUUGCCAUGUUUGACACUGGGCCUCCCAGCAGAUAUAACAGGAUUCUGCAAGAUUGUAUUCUAAUUUCAACUCAUGUAAGACCUAAAUCCUUAAAUGGCAGCUCUGUGGCAAGUAGAGGAAAAACGUAACUUCUUUUCUUGUGUCACUCAGGAAGGUACAUGUAUUUCUGGUUUGGAAAAAAAUGGAAUUUACAAGACUAUAAUGACAUACAUAAUCAUAGCAUGCCAACUUGUCUAAAGAGAAAUCAAAAGGCCUUCAUUGUUGCAUGAAGCAGAGAGAGAAAGUGUGAAGCGAUAUUACACUAUUUCCAUCUCAACUAGAAAAUAAGAUUGCAUUGAUUGUUGAGGUUACUCACUUCAGUAUUGUUAGUGAGUAGGUUUCCUCAAAGAUUAGCUCGAGUUAUGAAAACCAUUGCCUUUCUGAAGUGGUGAUGAUAAGAGAUGGUCAUGCUAAAUAGGAUGAGAGCUACUUACCUAGCUCUUUU
rnacentral:lncRNA from 1 species